rnacentral:lncRNA from 1 species
AUGUCCUCCGCCUCUAACUGUGACACCGCCAAAGGUCCCGGGCCCUCGGCUGAGAAUCCGCGUUUGGAAGCUUCCGGUCUCCAACCACGCGAAGAGGGCACAUCAGUGUACUUAAAAGCACCGACAGGAGCCAGCCUGGCAUCCCAGCCUUCUGGAAGGCUGAGACAGGAGGAUCGCAAGUUUGAGCCCAGCCUGGACGACUUAGCAAGACCCUGUCUGAAAACAAAAGUGUUUGGUGGUUUACCGGCUCGAUUGGCACAACAGGGAUGGCGCCCAGGACUCCGCGAGCUGCCGCGACCCUCCGAGGAGCGCACACACAAGGACCCUAACCUAGGGCGGAUGCCGCGGAGACCCCCACGCGGCCCGCCCGCUGCCAGGGAUCACCGUGCCGCACCGAGUCCUGCAGGGCACGGCCGCCGCACAGGCCCCUCCAGUCUCCGCCGCCAUGGUGCAAGCACGCGGAGCAGGAUCCAAACCGCAGAAAUAAGAAUUUCCGGUUUCUCGUGACAAAUCAGAAAUCCAGUGAACUGGACAGGCUGAAGAAAAGGUCCAAAUAUAUGCUCCUGUGGGUAUCCCUCAACACCAUGUCCAUAUUAAGGAGACCAUCCUUUCUUCUUUGUGUGUUCUUGCCACAUUUGUCAAAAAUCAGUGGGGCCAGGAAUUUAGCUCAGUGGUUCCACCGCCUGUCUCGAAAGCGCAAGGUCCCAAGUUCAAUUCCUGGUACAAAAAAAAUUCAGUGGAUUUAUAAAAAUGAGUGGAUUUAUAAAUGACCUUUCUGUUCAGUUCCUUUGGUCUACAUGUUUGUUUUUAUGUCAGUAACUUACUGGUUUGGCUACUGUGCUUUGCAGUACUUUAUAUUCACCCCCCUCUUCCUGUCCCAGACAUGGGGAUUGAAGCCAGGACCUUGUGCAUCCUAGGUAAGUGCUCUUCCACUGAUCUGUCUCCAUUCCAAGAUGCAAAGGGUGUUUAUUUGUCAUUUGUUUGUUCUGUACUGGGGAUCAAACUCAGGGUCUU